CAUAAACAUAAAGUGGUAAAAACUACAAACAAGGGGGAGAGGGUGAAAAAAAAACAUGAUUACCUGGAAAACAAUUGAUGAUGAUUUGAUUGUAUUGCUUCAAUUGUGUUUUAAAUGCACAGAGUCUCUUGUGCAAAUACAGUGAACACCGGUCUGAGGUGGUGUAAAAAGGUAGCAAACAACUUCCCAUGAAGCCUAAAUUAUACAAUAUAUUUUAUACCAUACGUAUGCAUUUGUAUGGAAUGCUAAUAUAACUAACGUGUUCGUUUAAACUUAACCUGUACAAACACAACUUUGAUUGCAUGUGUCAUUACUUGUUAAUCAUCUCAUAGUCUUGAAGUAUCAGUCAUGGAUAUGAUAUUGUUGAUGAUAAUGAUUUGGUCUAGGCUUAAAAAAUCAACAUCCAUCAGAAUUCUUUCCAUUUUAAUUUUUUCAGAAUAACAUGAGUCAAUACAAGAUUUAUUAGAAUUUUAAAUACUAUAUACCAACAAUCCACCAGUAACAUCCAAUAUCAUAACAGACAGCUUCUGCAUACUAUACAACUUUCCAACUAGUAGUGCAAUUCCAUGCCUCCCAGUAAUUCACCACCUGGUUUCACCAAGGGUAAACAGAUGGUAGUUAUCAGACUUUUGUUAGUCCUUAAAGAAAGAUAUGUUGUCCACAAGAAGCUAAUUCUUUGACUGAAAAUGAGCUAGCCUUGGUUUGAGGCUCAUUAUCACCUGAAUAGAGAAGUCAGAAUAUAAAUAUAGGUGUAGAUGUAGUUGUACAUGGUCAGAUUAUAUUACUGUACACCAGGGCCUUUCCACUCAGGUCCUGAAAGGUCAAAAUGCUUUUGUUUUGUCCCUCCAGGACCACAGAAACAAAUGUGUCACUCAUUACCCAGAAAAAAACUCCUUGGGACAACUUUAAUAUCCAUACCACUAGACUAAGAACAAAUUAACAACCACGUGUAAUUAUUUAAGUUGAGGUAAGAUGCCAGCAAACCGGUAUAUCCAUUGUAUAAUCACAGCUUAUUCUUACUUCUUAGCUUACAACUUUUUGGUUGGUUUGGGAAAGAUUUCACUAUAAUAGAGUAAUACCUCCAACUUGACUGUGAUGUGAUUGGUAACAGACAUUGGGAUUAUCUGGGAAGAGGAUCAAGUCAAAAAGCAUACUCAAACCCCCUGGGAAGGGAACCCCCAUGAGGAAAAAUAACUAACAUAAGGCAGCAGUGAUCAAAUUACAGUGUUGAACAACAAAAUCCUGUUUGACACGGUUUUGCAGGCUGACAUUAUGUAGAGGUGAAGGAUGGGACACUUGUGAGAACCUAAUAAACUCUGGCUUUCAUGUGUGUUAAAUUCCUUCAAUCACAAUAAAUUGCAUAAGAAACCUGAUAUAAAGUAGAAACUGUUCAGCAGCAGGUAAAAAAAGCAAGUUCAUUUACAGUAGUGACAUAUCUUACAUCAUUAUAUUUUCACAAUAAAUAAAAUUAAAUAUACAAUUCCAAAUAGGAAAUGUAGGGAAAUUGUCGCUGGUUUCUCACAUUCAUUCUUCCUACAAAAAACAACAACCUUUCGGGGGUGGGCAAAAAGUGUCUGGUCGACCAUAUCCCUUAAUUUGGCAAAAGAAGGGGUGCAAAAGCCUUUAGAUAAACUGACUAUUUUCCUUCUGAAUCCAUUUCUGUUAGCUGGAUGGAAGAGGGUACAAAUAUUCAAUGUUUAUUAUCACAGUCAACGAUGAAACAAAACAAAACUAUCAAACUGAACAUUACAAAAUAAGGUCAGAUCAAGGACAGUAAAAUCCCUUUGAUUUUCUUUGGGAGAUUUUCUUCACAUUUUCUUGCAUUAAAAAGUGGGAUUGAAAUAGAUAGUAUUUUUUGUAUUAAUCAAUCACUUUUGUUUAGUCAAGCCUCAGAUACAAACAUGGCCCACAAAUCAAAUAGUAAGUUAAAAGGAUUCACUCGGUAUGAAAUAGAUAUUUGUAUUAUUUUAAAAUGAUUAACCCCUUGUCCCCCAAACACAAUUUUUCUGAGGUCCCAAAGUUCAGGAAGCUUUUUUUGAAAGCCUCAAAGGCAGUUAUUAGUAGAUGGUAGGUUUGGGCAGUGGAAAAACAUUACUGUUAAAACUUUUGACAUGGUUUUAGACUGAACCUCAAAAAUAUUUAUGUAUUAAUGGUUUAUUUUUAUGCACUGGAGCACUUCGGAUUUGAAAUGAUUUAAUGGCUAUGUGGUUAAAGUGCAUUCCUGUCCUAUCCAACUCUAAGCCCAGCCAACACCAUGUGGACAUCGAUAGGCGUUGCAAAUGAAGUUACUGAAGCCAUUAAGAGACUGAGAACCCUAACAACAAGUUAGGGACAUUAUUAAAAAGAAUGAAAGCACAGGUAAACCAGGCAAGACCUCUACAGUCAAUGACCUGAGAAUCCUUAAGGUAGUAAUAAACAAAAAUAAAAACUGUCCUGCAUAUCUAGAUCAUGCUCCAGGAGUUAGCCUUGGAUGUAUCAGCCAUUACCAUACGCUAAGGACUUCACCAGCAGAACUACAGUGCAAGGUGCAAACCACUUGUUAUUCUGAAUUAACAAAAGGAUGGCUAAAUUAAGUACCUAAAAGAGCCUGCAGAGUUGUGGAAAAAGGCAAUGUGGACAGAUGAGACAAUGAUUAACCUAUACCUGGUGAUAGAAAGUAGGGAGAGAAAUAUUGACAAAGACCUAAGGCAUACCACGUGAUCAGUGACAUAUAAUGUAGUGGGUGUUAUGAUGGAGUGGGUGUUAUUGCUUGGUUAUGUCCAUGAGUGGCUGCCACUGGAACAGAAUAUACCCAGCUCAUGGUGAGGUCAAUAGGUCACAGACUUCCAGCAGUGAUUGCAUUGAAAGGACAUAAAACGAAAUACUAGAUGCAAGUGCUUGGUUUGACUUCAAUGCUUGUUUGACUGCAAAUUAAAUCUCUCAAAAUUAUCAAGCCACAACAAGGUGAGGAAAGUAUUGAUUUCAGUGUACAAAAAAUGCUGUAAAGGG
ensembl:lncRNA